rnacentral:rRNA from 1 species
AUACGUAGGUGACAAGCGUUAUCCGGAUUUACUGGGCGUAAAGGGCGCGUAGGCGGACUUGCAAGUCAGAAGUGAAAUUCCUGAGCUCAACUCGUGCGCUGCUUCUGAAACUGCAGGACUGGAGGCCUGGAGGGUAUACCGGAAUUCCUAGUGGAGCGGUAAAAGGCGCAGAUAUUAGGAAGAACACCGGUGGCGAAGGCGGCUAUCUGGACAGUAACUGACGCUGAGGCGCGAAAGCGUGGGGCGCAAACAGGAUUAGAUACCCUGGUAGUCCGCGCAGUAAGCGAAGAUGGAGAACCGCUGGUUUAUUCGGAUCAGUGGCCAAGCGAAAGCGAUAAGCCAUCCACCUGGGGAGUACGACCGCAAGGUUGAAACUCAAAGGAAUUGACGGGG